CCUACGGGAGGCAGCAGUGGGGAAUUUUCCGCAAUGGGCGAAAGCCUGACGGAGCAAGACCGCGUGAGGGAGGAAGGCCUAUUGGUUGUAAACCUCUUUUGAUAGGGAAGAACACAAUGACGGUACCUAUCGAAUCAGCAUCGGCUAACUCCGUGCCAGCAGCCGCGGUAAUACGGAGGAUGCAAGCGUUAUCCGGAUUUAUUGGGCGUAAAGCGUCCGUAGGUGGCAAUCCAAGUCAGUUGUUAAAGCGUAGAGCUUAACUCUAUAAGGGCAAUUGAAACUGGAUAGCUAGAGUGCGAUAGGGGCAAGGGGAAUUCCCAGUGUAGCGGUGAAAUGCGUAGAUAUUGGGAAGAACAUCGGUGGCGAAGGCGCCUUGCUGGGUCUGCACUGACACUGAGGGACGAAAGCUAGGGGAGCGAAAGGGGAUUAGAUACCCCUGUAGUCCUAGCCGUAAACGAUGGAUACUAGGCGUUGUCCGUAUCGACCCGGGCAGUGCGUACGCUACGACGUUAGUAUCCGCCGUCGGGUAGGUACGCGUCGCGAGAGUAGAACGUACGAAAGGAAGUUAGUAACGGUCGUGUUAGACGUGCCGACGGACGACGACGAGGGAGGAGG
rnacentral:rRNA from 1 species